UUCCUCUUCUGCAUCCUGUUCCUCUCCCUCCCUGCGUUGAAGGAGGGUGAGGGCAGAGAGCCCCGAGGGGAGCUGGGACCCUGGGGGAAGCAGCUCAGCCACGGGCUACACGUAACCAUGGUGACCAGCCGAGGACAACUCUAAGAAGAUGGCACACCCUGAUGGCAUUUCUUCUUCCCUCUCGCCCCCUGUACGCGGCUGUCCUGCCGGCUCCCAGGUCCGACCUGCCAUGAUUAGAAAGGCUCAGGAAGCAAGUUCGCACCUGUGCUGAAGAGGCAGAGUGGACAAUGAGAGAGAGAGACAGUGAGAAAGGUCUUCCUUUUCUGUUGGUUCACCCCGCAAUGGCUGCUGCGGCCGGUGCACCGCGCUGAUCCGAAGCCAGGAGCCAGGUGCUUCCUCCUGGUCUCCCAUGCAGGUGUAGGGCCCAAGCACUUGGGCCAUCCUCCACUGCACUCCCUGGCCACAGCAGAGAGCUGGCCUGGAAGAGGGACAGCCGGGACAGAAUCCGGUACCUGACUGGGACUAGAACCCGGUGUGCCUGCGCCGCAGGUGGAGAAUUAGCCUAGUGAGCCGCGGCACCGGCCUCUACCCAAUUUUCUACAGGAGGCUUGAACAUCCAUGGAUUUUGAUAUUCACAGGGGAUCCUGGAACCAAUCUUUAGAUCCAGAGGAAUGAGUGUAUUAAAAAAAAAAAAAAAAAAAAGGAAAGAAAGAAGGAAGAGAGAACGGGAGGAGGGGAAGGAAGAAGAGCCUGAUCCCCAAGUGCUCAUUUUUCUCUAAGUGUUUUCCCUCCUUCUUGUUCCGCGUUUGCCUCUCCAUCAAAAGGAUACUUCAGACCAUUCCCUACAAUAUGCCUUCAGAAACUCAGACCAGAACGUGGUCACACACCAUCCAGCAAAGUCUCUCUGGCUCCUGCAGCCACAGAUGGUCUCCCGGGUGCUAAUUGUGCACUCUCACUCUCGGGUAGCCGAGCCCACGGGACUUCCUCCCGCACUGCUGCUUCCAGACGCGGCCCUUCCCAUUGCCCUCACCUCUGAACUCCCCGCUUGCGCUGUUUUCAGGUCCUUGGUUAUAAAUAAUACACACAGUUCUUGAGGCAUCCGUUAAUUAAGUGCCCAACAAGUCGCUAAUUAAGGUGUCAAUAAAUUGUAUCCCAGUAAUAUUCCCAGAUGUGCUCUACGAAAUAAAAUCAAUGCUGUGGU